rnacentral:rRNA from 1 species
UACGUAGGCAGCAAGCGUUGUUCGGAAUUACUGGGCGUAAAGAGUGUGUAGGCGGCUGUCCCAGUCUGGUGUGAAAUCUCCCGGCUUAACCGGGAGGGAGCGCCGGAAACUAGGCAGCUCGAGCGUGGGAGAGGAAAGCGGAAUUCCUGGUGUAGCGGUGAAAUGCGUAGAGAUCAGGAGGAACACCUGCGGUGUAGACGGCUUUCUGGACCACCUGCUGACGCUGAGACACGAAAGCGUGGGUA